AGAGUUUGAUCCUGGCUCAGAUUGAACGCUGGCGGCAGGCCUAACACAUGCAAGUCGAGCGGUAGAGAGAAGCUUGCUUCUCUUGAGAGCGGCGGACGGGUGAGUAAUGCCUAGGAAUCUGCCUAGUGGUGGGGGAUAACGUUCGGAAACGGACGCUAAUACCGCAUACGUCCUACGGGAGAAAGCGGGGGACCUUCGGGCCUCGCGCCAUUAGAUGAGCCUAGGUCGGAUUAGCUAGUUGGUGAGGUAAUGGCUCACCAAGGCGACGAUCCGUAACUGGUCUGAGAGGAUGAUCAGUCACACUGGAACUGAGACACGGUCCAGACUCCUACGGGAGGCAGCAGUGGGGAAUAUUGGACAAUGGGCGAAAGCCUGAUCCAGCCAUGCCGCGUGUGUGAAGAAGGUCUUCGGAUUGUAAAGCACUUUAAGUUGGGAGGAAGGGUAGUAACUUAAUACGUUGCUACUUUGACGUUACCGACAGAAUAAGCACCGGCUAACUUCGUGCCAGCAGCCGCGGUAAUACGAAGGGUGCAAGCGUUAAUCGGAAUUACUGGGCGUAAAGCGCGCGUAGGUGGUUCAGUAAGUUGGAAGUGAAAUCCCCGGGCUCAACCUGGGAACUGCAUUUGUGACUGUAUAGCUAGAGUACGGUAGAGGGGGAUGGAAUUCCGCGUGUAGCAGUGAAAUGCGUAGAUAUGCGGAGGAACACCGAUGGCGAAGGCAAUCCCCUGGACCUGUACUGACGCUCAUGCACGAAAGCGUGGGGAGCAAACAGGAUUAGAUACCCUGGUAGUCC
rnacentral:rRNA from 1 species